rnacentral:pre_miRNA from 11 species
AAGUCACAGACUGAGAAAUCUCUGCAGGCAAAUGUGAUGUCUUGACCAGCAAUCUCACAGUUACCAGCAGAGGUUCUGCAAUCUGGACUG